rnacentral:lncRNA from 1 species
CGGUCAUCCCCCCUAUGUUGUUCAAAGCUGUAUUCUUUCGAGCAAUUCCAAACCCUUGCAGGCCCGGCUGAUCCCAAAGCUCCCAGCUUGAAAGAUCAAUCCACAGCAAGCCGCUUGCACCAAGCCCGCGAACUGCCGUGCAGAGGAUCUCGAACAACAAUGCAGCUCCUAGAUUAGAGCUACUUUUCAGGAUGGGUCAUAUCUCGGGCGAUUAACUUCCGAAAUUACACCUCUCAAGCUUACGAAAUAAUUAUGGCGCGUCCUGCGUAGAUACGAGGUUUCAGAACUGACGUUACUCAGCUACCGGAUCGACAUCAGUGGUUUCGAACCUCACUUACGGCAUUACCGAUUUCUAGUGCUUUUUCUUCUUUUUAGAAAAACAAGGGCUGCUAACAUCACCGAAGGAAGUUGGUGUCUCCCCCGAGGGGAGGAGGGCAAAGCUCGGAGGGGGAAACGGUCCGCUCUAUCUACUUCCCGACUAUUUCUUCCUUUGAGGAAAUAGAGUAAGGGAAGACCUUACUUGCUGCUACUGAGCUUCUUUUUCUGUUGUUUUUUUCUUACUUUUCUGUUGUUCUUUUCUUACUCUACUAUCCUUGUUGCGAGCUUUUUGCCUUAUUCUUACUAAUCUCUGCCAGAGCACCUUUUCUAGUCCAGAUGGUUUUCUUAAAGGGUUUCAUAGCAUAUCCACUAGUAACCCUUCCUACAACAUUACACUGAGCAAUAGGACCCGAUAAACGCGCUUUAUUGAGGCUUCUGUUUCUUGUAAGACUAUAGUAGCUAGGCCUCCUCUACCGUCCCGCUGAACACCGACCCAAACUGCCGCUUCCCCGAGGGCCAAAGCUCAGCUUUGGUUCACCUCCCCGGGGGGUGUUUGGAACUAUCUUCCUUGCGGUUAAUAGCUUUCUUUUUGCCUUAGACCACAAAAGGUAUAAGAGAGACUGUUUUACGAGACUGUCCCCUGCUAGCGAUACCAGAAUAAAAAUAUCCGGAGCCGUGUCUUGCUGGAAUUCAGUCCGAAAAAGCACUGUAGCUCCCCACAAAAUGAGGGUAGGCUGUCUCUCUCCGACCCGACUAUUUCUUCCUUUGAGGAAAUAGAGUAAGGGUCGACCUUCUUCCGGAAAAAGAGGGCUUGCUCGCCCCCGUCUUUCCUUUCGUCUUUUGCGCAAACCAAACACCCCACAUUCCCGGGUAUGGAGCCACCUUCUUCACCCCGACAUGCUACUUCCAUAGGCCACUGAAAGCCUAGGGGAUGGUACCUCAGAACCACCCAGCUUCCACAGUAGUCCCGGUAGCAACCCGACUUGCUGGAAAAAGGUUCGCCUUCUUGUACUGAAGCGAGUAGAGGAAGU